rnacentral:rRNA from 1 species
CCUACGGGAGGCAGCAGUGGGGAAUAUUGCACAAUGGGGGAAACCCUGAUGCAGCCAUGCCGCGUGUGUGAAGAAGGCCUUCGGGUUGUAAAGCACUUUCAGCAGUGAGGAAGGUAGUGUAGUUAAUAACUGCAUUGCUUGACGUUAGCUGCAGAAGAAGCACCGGCUAACUCCGUGCCAGCAGCCGCGGUAAUA